GACUUUUUCUUGCAGUGAGUUUUACAGCUAACUGAUCACAGCCAGUUACAGAUUUCUUUGUUCCUUCUCUGCUACUGCUGCUUCACUUGACUAGCCUUAG
ensembl:misc_RNA Y_RNA Y RNA